UACGUAGGGGGCAAGCGUUAUCCGGAUUUACUGGGUGUAAAGGGAGCGCAGACGGCAGUGCAAGUCUGAAGUGAAAUCUCAGGGCUUAACCCUGGAACUGCUUUGGGAACUGUGCAGCUUGAGUAUCGGAAGGGUAAGCGGAACUCCUAGUGUAGCGGUGAAAUGCGUAGAUAUUAGGAAGAACACCGGUGGCGAAGGCGGCUUACUGGACGAUAACUGACGUUGAGGCUCGAAAGCGUGGGGAGCAAAC
rnacentral:rRNA from 1 species